GCCCGCCUAGCUCAAUCGGAUAGAGCGUCAGACUUUUACGAAGGUCCGGGUGAUCGGUCACUUAGUGAUCUGAAGGCUGCGAGUUCGACCCUCGCGGUGGGCU
rfam:Hebeloma cylindrosporum h7 unplaced genomic scaffold scaffold_2, whole genome shotgun sequence.